UCUCAUUUACUCAGUAUCUUAUUAAUGCAAAAGCGUGCGCUUGGGACCCACAACAGACUCUGAUGCUGUCUAGUUAUGUGAUGUUGGUUUAUUCCAGGAAUGUUGAAUUUCCAAAAUAUUGACUGAGCCACCCAAUGGUUAAGAUAAAAGUUCUUUCUUUCUAGAGCCUUUGGAAACACAGAGGCUGGCAGGACAGGGAUAAGGCCUGCAAGAAGACUGUCAGAAGACUAUCUCAGCCACCAAAGAGAAGAUUAGUUUGAGGAGCAUGGAGACAGUGGAGGAAAGACAUCUCCCAAUUCCAGUUUGAAAGGUUCGGAUGAAACCCCAGCAGUGAGCCUGCUGACAGCGACGAUGCCAGCUGAGAGAAGCAUGCUACAAGAUCCGAGUGAAGAGCUCUGGAUGGCUGGAUGAGUGGGCGACUCACGCUGAGUCUUCCUGGUUUAUGGUGCGGAUGAAGCAAUUAUCCAGAUAAGCGGAUCGAUGUUGGUAACUUCAGCAAUAAAGCCCACUUUGGGAACCAAAUGAUCCUGCUUGGCUCUUCACAUUGAUCCAAUUAAGUGUGUAAUUGUCCUGGGCCUACCUUCCACAGUGUCUUUGGGGUCCUAGCCCGUGGCUGGUUUGGCUUCCCAAGGAGCUGGGGAAAUGGCAACCGUUCUCUGACACAUCUGCUCCUCCCAGAGCUGGGGUCCUGGACCAGCCCUCUCAGGACAAGGGAGCCUGAUGGAUAAAUACUGCAGAGAUGGUGUGUUUUGACUGGUUGAACACUAGACCUGAAGCCAGUGGCCUGAGUUCAAU